AUGCACGCUGGCGGCGUGCCUAAUACAUGCAAGUCGAGCGAACAGACGAGGAGCUUGCUCCUCUGACGUUAGCGGCGGACGGGUGAGUAACACGUGGAUAACCUACCUAUAAGACUGGGAUAACUUCGGGAAACCGGAGCUAAUACCGGAUAAUAUAUUGAACCGCCUGGUUCAAUAGUGAAAGACGGUUUUGCUGUCACUUAUAGAUGGAUCCGCGCCGCAUUAGCUAGUUGGUAAGGUAACGGCUUACCAAGGCAACGAUGCGUAGCCGACCUGAGAGGGUGAUCGGCCACACUGGAACUGAGACACGGUCCAGACUCCUACGGGAGGCAGCAGUAGGGAAUCUUCCGCAAUGGGCGAAAGCCUGACGGAGCAACGCCGCGUGAGUGAUGAAGGUCUUCGGAUCGUAAAACUCUGUUAUUAGGGAAGAACAAAUGUGUAAGUAACUAUGCACGUCUUGACGGUACCUAAUCAGAAAGCCACGGCUAACUACGUG
rnacentral:rRNA from 1 species